CCACCCAGUGGCGUCCUCGCUAACUCCCUAAUUGCUGUGGGCAACCUCAGCACCAUGACACCUGCCCUGGAGCCAGAACUGGAGACCCACCUCCUUCGAGCUGCCCUGCAUGCCAUCUUCACUCUGGGCAUGGAGAAGGACACCACCCAAGUCCAGGAUCUGCAUAAGGUCUUGCCAGACCUCCUGGAUGCCAUGCUGAGGAACC